CCUCUUUUAGAAAAAGUUGUUUAAAAUAUGAUGUAACUCUCCUCUUUUUGAGUACAAAAUUUUAAGUUUUCAAAGUAUUUGUAUAGAAGAACUAUACAAAUUCUUGGUAUUUCUCUUCUUUCUUUUCUACAUCAGUAAAAUGACCCCUUGUCUGAGGGAGGGUUGUUCUCAACCUGAUAAUAAAAACACAGGGUCAAAGUAC
rnacentral:lncRNA from 1 species